AAAUCAAUUGAUGCAGAGAAAGCAUUUGACAAAAUACAGCACCCUUUCAUGUUCAAAACACUAGAAAAACUAGGGAUAGUAGGAACAUACCUCAAAGUUGUAAAAGCAAUCUAUGCUAAACCUAAGGCCAACAUCAUCAUAAAUGGAGAAAAUUUGGAAGCAUUAUCUCUAAAAACUGGAACAAGACAAGCAUGCCCUCUUUUACCACUUCUAUUCAACAUAGUCAUUGAAGAUCAAGCCAGAGCAAUUAGACAGAUGAAAGAAGUUAAAGGGAUACAAAUAGGAAGAGAAGAACUCAAACUAUCAUUAUUUGCUGAUGACAUGAUUCUAUAGUUGGAGGAUCUAAAAAAUUCUACCAAAAAACUUUUAGAAUUAAUAAAUGAAUUCAACAAAGUAGCAGGAUAUAAAAUCAAUACCCAUAAAUCAAAUGAAUUUCUAUACAUCAGUGGUGAAUCCUCUGAAAGAGAAAUUAGGAAAACCACCCCAUUCACAAUAGCCUCAAAAAAAAAAUAAAUAAAACACUUGGGAAUCAACAAAAGAUGUGAAAAGAUCUCUACAACAAAAACUACAGAACACUAAAGAAAGAAAUUGAAGAAGACCUUACAAGAUGGAAAGAUCUCCCAUACUCUUGGAUAGGCAAAAUUAAUAUUGUCAAAAUGGCCAUACUACCCAAAAUGUUAUACAGAUCAAUGCAAAGCCAAUUAAAAUCCCAGCAUCUUUCCUUAUAGAAAUAGAAAAAGCAAUCAUUAAAUUCAUUCGGAAAGAAAAAUAAGAGGCCCAGAAUAGCGAAAGCAAUCCUUAGCAAGAAGAGUGAAGCAGGAGGCAUCACAAAACCAGACCUCAAACUAUACUACAAAGCUACGGUAACAAAAAUGGCAUGAUAUUGGCACCAAAACAGACACAUAGAACUGGGUGAGGUGGCACCUGCUUAUAAUCCUAGCUACUUAGGAGGCUGAGGCAGGAAGAUAACAAGCUCCAAGCCAUCCCAGGUAACUUAGUGAGACUGUCUCAAAAUAAAAUAAAAACUGGGGGUGUAGCUUGGACAUAAUGUGUCUCAGGUUCAAUCCCCAGUAUAGAAACAACAAAGGAAGAUAGGAGAGCAUGCACAUAUGUGCUCUCGUGCACGCGCCCCCCCCCCCCAAACAAUCAGAAAUAACUAUUUUUCUUUAAAAACUGAACAAAAU
rnacentral:lncRNA from 1 species